CUUUUGGACACCAAAAUCUGACCUUUUAGCACACAAGUAAGGCACGCACGAGGACCUCCAAGAGGACCCUACCGUGGAAGUUUGAACUCUCAAUCCAACCUACUUGCUUGCAUAUCUUGGUUUGAACUCGGAGGUGAAAUGGAGAAACCCUCC